AUAUUUCAAGGGAGGAAUGAUGCUCAAAGUGAAACCCCAAGAAAAGGAUCCUGAAUCCCAGGUCUGUGAUGGAGCUGCUGUCUUCCUGACCUUCCUUGAUUUGAA
ensembl:snoRNA SNORD124 small nucleolar RNA, C/D box 124